CCAAUAGCGUAUAUUAAAGUUGUUGCAGUUAAAAAGCUCGUAGUUGAACUUCGGGAUUUGCCCAUUGGUCAGGCCUAACUGUCUGUACUGGUGAGAUGAAUUCCUACCUUCUGAGGAAUCUUUAUGCCAUUAAUUUGGUGUGAGGGGGAAUCAGGACUGUUACUUUGAAAAAAUUAGAGUGUUUAAAGCAGGCUAACGUCUGAAUACAUUAGCAUGGAAUAAUAAAAUAGGACGGUUGGUUCUAUUUUGUUGGUUUCUAGGAUCACCGUAAUGAUUAAUAGGGAUAGUUGGGGGCAUUAGUAUUCAAUUGUCAGAGGUGAAAUUCUUGGAUUUAUUGAAGACUAACUACUGCGAAAGCAUUUGCCAAGGAUGUUUUCAUUAAUCAAGAACGAAAGUUAGGGGAUCGAAGACGAUCAGAUACCGUCGUAGUCUUAACCAUAAACUAUGCCGACUAGGGAUCGGACGAAGUUAAUUUUUAAAUGACUCGUUCGGCACCUUACG
rnacentral:rRNA from 1 species